rnacentral:rRNA from 1 species
CAAUAGCGUAUAUUAAAGUUGUUGCAGUUAAAACGCUCGUAGUUGAAUAUCUGUUAUCAUUGUUCGGUCCGCUUCGGUGUGUACCGUAACAAAUAUAACAUUCGUUUGCUUUGCUCCGCACUGCAAACCGUUUACUUUGAGGAAAUUAGAGUGUUUAAAGCAGGCUUAUGCCGUUGAAUACAUUAGCAUGGAAUAAUAAGAUAGGACUUUGGCGUCUAUUUUGUUGGUUUGCACACCAAGGUAAUGAUUAAUAGGGAUAGUUGGGGGUAUUCGUAUUUAAUUGUCAGAGGUGAAAUUCUUGGAUUUAUGAAAGACGAACUUCUGCGAAAGCAUUUACCAAAGAUGUUUUCAUUAA